rnacentral:rRNA from 1 species
GACAGGGGGCUCAAGCGUUAAUCGGAAUCACUGGGCUUAAAGGGUGCGUAGGCGGCUAUGUAAGUCAGGAGUGAAAGUUUGCGGCUCAACCGUAAAAUUGCUUUUGAUACUGCAUUGCUGGAAUUAGGAUGAGGUCAGCGGAAUGUGGCAUGUAGCGGUGAAAUGCAUAGAUAUGCCAUAGAACACCAAUUGCGAAGGCAGCUGGCUAGACCUGGAUUGACGCUGAGGCACGAAAGCGUGGGGAGCGAACAGG